GCAUAUCAAUAAGCGGAGGAAAAAGAAACCAACAGGGAUUGCCCUAGUAACGGCGAGUGAAGCGGCAACAGCUCAAAUUUGAAAGCUGGCUCUCGGGCCCGCAUUGUAAUUUGCAGAGGAUGCUUCUGGCGACGCGCCUUCCGAGUUCCCUGGAACGGGACGCCAUAGAGGGUGAGAGCCCCGUCCGGUCGUGCGCCUAGCCUCUGUGAAGCUCCUUCGACGAGUCGAGUAGUUUGGGAAUGCUGCUCAAAAUGGGAGGUAUACGUCUUCUAAAGCUAAAUACCGGCCAGAGACCGAUAGCGCACAAGUAGAGUGAUCGAAAGAUGAAAAGCACUUUGAAAAGAGAGUUAAAAAGUACGUGAAAUUGUUGAAAGGGAAGCGCUCAUGACCAGACUUGGGCUGGCUCGAUCAUCCGGCGUUCUCGCCGGUGCACUCGGGCCGCUCAGGCCAGCAUCAGCUUCCGCCGGGGGAUAAAGGCGGUGGGAAUGUGGCUCCCUCGGGAGUGUUAUAGCCCGCCGUGCAAUACCCUGGUGGGGGCUGAGGUUCGCGCGUAUGCACGGAUGCUGGCGUAAUGGUCAUCAGCGACCCGUCUUGAAACACGGACCAAGGAGUCGUCUUCGUAUGCGAGUGUUCGGGUGUCAAACCCCUACGCGGAAUGAAAGUGAACGCUGGUGAGAGCUUCGGCGCAUCACCGACCGAUCCUGAUGUUCUCGGAUGGAUUUGAGUAAGAGCAUACGGGGCCGGACCCGAAAGAAGGUGAACUAUGCCUGUAUAGGGUGAAGCCAGAGGAAACUCUGGUGGAGGCUCGCAGCGGUUCUGACGUGCAAAUCGAUCGUCAAAUAUGGGCAUGGGGGGCGAAAGACUAAUCGAMCCUUCUAGUAGCUGGUUUCCGCCGAAG
rnacentral:rRNA from 1 species